UUUUUUUUUUUUUUUGGCUGCUUUCUCCACUAGAUCAUAAGCUCCAUGAGGACAGGGAAUUUUUGUCUGUUUUAUUCACUGAUUUUAUUCAUCUUUUUAUUCACUGAAUGCCUAAGAUAAGUAUCUAGCACAUAAUGAGUGCUUCAUACAUAUUUACUGAAUGCAUGAAGGAAGCAAAUCUUCCUGUUUGUUGAAAACAGGUGUUCAGAAUGUGCUAGUUUCAGAAACAAUCACAGUUAACUUUUUAGAAGACCAGCUAUUUGUUAGUCCCUUCUUGUGUUGCCAUAAAGAAAUAACUGAGGGUAAUUUCUAAAGAAUACGAGUCAGAUUGGCUCAUGGUUCUUCAGGCUAUACAGGAAGUAUGGAGCUGACAUCUGCUCAGCUUUUGGUGAGGGCCACAGGAAGUGUCCAAUCAUGGAAGAAAGUACAGGGUGAGCCGUGUAUCACAUGGCAAGAGUGGAAGCAAGGAGAGGGAGAAAGGCAGAAAGACGGGGAGGUGCCACACACUUGUAAACAACCAGAUCUCAUGUGAACUCAGAGUGAGGGCUCACUCGUUACUGUGAGGAGGGCACCAAGCCAAACACUUAUCCCCAGGCCCUGCUUCCAACCCUGGGGAUUACAUUUCAACAUGAGAUUUGGAGGAGAUGGACAAAUAUCUAAACCAUAUCAAGCUAUUUCUCCAUCUUCUGUACAAUGGGGAGGGUCAAAGUAGUCAAAAUCCAAAACAGAAGUGAUUUUGUUAGCUUUAGAGUACUCUUCACAGUGUCCCUGGCUUACGGCUUCCUUUCUAUGACUUCUAUCAUUUUAAAACAAUUUUUUAUUGGUGCAUAAAAAUUGUACCUAUUUAUGGGGUGUAUGUGAUUUUUGUUUUAUUUUGUUUUGUUUUUGGGAUGGAGUCUUGCUCUGUUGCUCAGCCUGGAGUGCAGUGGUGCAAUCUUGGCUUACUGCAACUUCUGCCUCCUGGGUUCAAGCAAUUCUCCUGUCUCAGGCUCCCGAGUAGCUGAGAUUACAGGUGCCUGCCACCAUACCCAGCUAAUUUUUGUAUUUUUAGUAGAGACAGGGUUUCACCGUAUUGACCAGGCUGAUCUCGAACUCCUGACCUCAAGUGAUCUGCCCACCUCGGCCUCCCACACUGCUGGGAUUACAGGCAUGAGCCACCACGCCCGGCCUAUAUGUGAUAUUUUAAAACCUGUAUACAAUGUGUAAUGAUCAAAUAAGGAUAAUAAGCAUAUCCAUCACCUCAAACAUUUAUCACUUCUUUGUGUUAGAGACAUUCCAAAUAAUCUCUUCCAGCUAUUUUGAAAUAUACUAUAAAAUCUUGUUAACUACAGUCACUCUACUGUGCAAUUGAACACUAGAACUUAUUCUAUCUAACUGUGUUUUUUUUACCCAUUAACCAAUCUCUCCCUCCCUCCACACCCUUCCCAGCCUCUGGCAACCACCGUUCUACUCUCUGCCUCCAUGAGAUCCACUGUUGAGCUCCCACAUAUGAGUGAGGACAUACGAUAUUUGACUUCCCAUCAUCAGGGAAAUGCAAAUCAAAACCACAAUGAGAUAUCAUCUCAUCCAAGUGAAAAUGGCUAUUAUCAAAAAGAAAAUAACAAAUGCUGUCAAGGAUGCCGAGAAAGAGGAAUGCUCAUACACUGUUAGUAGGGGUGUAAAUUAGUUCAGCAACCAUCGCAAACAAUAUGAAGGUUCCUCAAAAAACUAAAAAUAUACCUACCAUAUGAUCUAUCAAUAGUUGGGUAUAUAUCCGAAGGAAAUAAAAUCAGCAUAUUGAGGAGACAUCUGCACCCCCAUGUUUAUUUCAGCACUAUUCACAAUAUUCAAAAUAUGGAAUCAACCUAAGUGUCUGUCAGUGGAUGACUAGAUAAAGAAAAUGUAUAUAUAGGCAAAGAAUCCUAUUCAGGCACAAAAAGAAUGAAAUCCUGACAUUUGCAACUUCUAUCAUUGUUAUGUCCUGUUUAACAAACUGGUUCAUUUUAACAAACACUUAUGGAAUGAUGCAGCAGAAAGUGUCCUAAUACAUGAAGUUUCCAAGUUAAUUAAGGCAUGAUCCAUGCCCUUAAAAGGCUAUAGCCUAGUGGCAGAGUUAGGCUAUCAAUGACCUAUGACCUGCCAGAUAGGGAGGUCAAUGUAGUCACUGGGGACAUGACGGAGUGGCUGGGCAUCACUGGAUCAUUAAGUACAUGGUC
ensembl:lncRNA